AUCCAGUCGACGAGUCCCAAAUGGGACGAAAUGCGCAUCCCUGAU
rnacentral:hammerhead_ribozyme from 1 species